GGAGAGUUUUGAUCUCUUAAUCAUAGGUUCAAUUCCUAU
rnacentral:tRNA from 1 species